rnacentral:rRNA from 1 species
GACGAACGCUGGCGGCGCGCCUAACACAUGCAAGUCGAACGAGCGAGAGAGAGCUUGCUUUCUCGAGCGAGUGGCGAACGGGUGAGUAACGCGUGAGGAACCUGCCUCAAAGAGGGGGACAACAGUUGGAAACGACUGCUAAUACCGCAUAAGCCCACGGCUCGGCAUCGAGCAGAGGGAAAAGGAGCAAUCCGCUUUGAGAUGGCCUCGCGUCCGAUUAGCUAGUUGGUGAGGUAACGGCCCACCAAGGCGACGAUCGGUAGCCGGACUGAGAGGUUGAACGGCCACAUUGGAACUGAGACACGGCCCAGACUCCUACGGGAGGCAGCAGUGGGGAAUAUUGCACAAUGGGGGAAACCCUGAUGCAGCGACGCCGCGUGGAGGAAGAAGGUCUUCGGAUUGUAAACUCCUGUUGUUGGGGAAGAUAAUGACGGUACCCAACAAGGAAGUGACGGCUAACUACGUGCCAGCAGCCGCGGUAAAACGUAGGUCACAAGCGUUGUCCGGAAUUACUGGGUGUAAAGGGAGCGCAGGCGGGAAGACAAGUUGGAAGUGAAAUCUAUGGGCUCAACCCAUAAACUGCUUUCAAAACUGUUUUUCUUGAGUAGUGCAGAGGUAGGCGGAAUUCCCGGUGUAGCGGUGGAAUGCGUAGAUAUCGGGAGGAACACCAGUGGCGAAGGCGGCCUGCUGGGCACCAACUGACGCUGAGGCUCGAAAGUGUGGGUAGCAAACAGGAUUAGAUACCCUGGUAGUCCACACCGUAAACGAUGAUUACUAGGUGUUGGAGGAUUGACCCCUUCAGUGCCGCAGUUAACACAAUAAGUAAUCCACCUGGGGAGUACGACCGCAAGGUUGAAACUCAAAGGAAUUGACGGGGGCCCGCACAAGCAGUGGAGUAUGUGGUUUAAUUCGACGCAACGCGAAGAACCUUACCAAGUCUUGACAUCCCUUGACAGGCACAGAAAUAUGUUUUCUCUUCGGAGCAAGGAGACAGGUGGUGCAUGGUUGUCGUCAGCUCGUGUCGUGAGAUGUUGGGUUAAGUCCCGCAACGAGCGCAACCCUUAUGGUCAGUUACUACGCAAGAGGACUCUGGCCAGACUGCCGUUGACAAAACGGAGGAAGGUGGGGAUGACGUCAAAUCAUCAUGCCCUUUAUGACUUGGGCUACACACGUACUACAAUGGCGUUAAACAAAGAGAAGCAAGACCGCGAGGUGGAGCAAAACUCAGAAACAACGUCCCAGUUCGGACUGCAGGCUGCAACUCGCCUGCACGAAGUCGGAAUUGCUAGUAAUCGUGGAUCAGCAUGCCGCGGUGAAUACGUUCCCGGGCCUU